rnacentral:rRNA from 1 species
CCUACGGGUGGCUGCAGUGGGGAAUAUUGGACAAUGGGCGAAACCCUGAUGCAGCGAAGCCGCGUGAGUGAAGAAGUAACUCGUUAUGUAAAGCUUUAUCAGCCGGGAAGAAAAUGACGGUACCUGAGUAAGAAGCCCCGGCUAACUACGUGCCAGCAGCCGCGGUAAUACGUAGGGAGCAAGCGUUAUCCGGAUUUACUGGGUGUAAAGGGGGCGUAGACGGGAGUGCAAGUCUGGAGGGAAAGGCGGGGGCCCAACCCCCGGACUGCUGUGGAAACUGUCCGGCUGGAGUGCAGGAGAGGUAAGUGGAAUUCGUAGUGUAGCGGUGAAAUGCGUAGAUAUUAGGAGGAACACCAGUGGCGAAGGCAGCUUACUGGCCUCUAACUGACGUUGAGGCUCGAAAGCGUGGGGAGCAAACAGGAUUAGAUACCCUUGUAGUC